rnacentral:rRNA from 1 species
UACGUAGGUCCCGAGCGUUGUCCGGAUUUAUUGGGCGUAAAGCGAGCGCAGGUGGUUUAUUAAGUCUGGUGUAAAAGGCAGUGGCUCAACCAUUGUAUGCAUUGGAAACUGGUAGACUUGAGUGUAGGAGAGGAGAGUGGAAUUCCAUGUGUAGCGGUGAAAUGCGUAGAUAUAUGGAGGAACACCGGUGGCGAAAGCGGCUCUUUGGCCUGUAACUGACACUGAGGCUCGAAAGCGUGGGGAGCAAACAGG